GACGAACGCUGGCGGCGUGCUUAACACAUGCAAGUCGAACGGAAAGGCCCUUCUUUUGUUGCUUGCUCGAGUGGCGAAUGGGUGAGUAAUACGUGAGUUACCUUUCCUUUACUUUUGGCUUCCUUCAGCUAACUGUGGUUCCUACUGGAUAUGCUUUCCUGCUGCUUGGUGUUGGUAGGCUUGUUUGGGGGGUUGUGGAUGGACUAGCGGUUUAUCUGUUUGUUGGUGGGGUAGUGGCUUAGCAAGGCUUUGAUGGGUAGCCGGCCUGAGAGGGUGACCGGCGACAGUGGGAGUGAGAUACGGCCCAGAAGACUACGGGAGGCAGCAGUGGGGAAGAGUGCACAAGGGGCGGAAGCCGGAUGCAGCAACGACGCGUGCGGGAUGACGGCCUUCGGGGUGGAAACCGCGUGAAGAAGGGGCGAAGCGUGUGGGGACGGUACCUGCAGAAGAAGCACCGGCUAACUACGUG
rnacentral:rRNA from 1 species